ACACCAAAACAAGAAGAUGUUUUUCAGAAGCUGGGCUUAGUGCUGCUCAGUACCAGAGGACUCGUCAAGCUCUCCUCAGCACAGCCUGCAGCCAGGCUAUAGAUGAUCUGGAGAAAGACAGAGCACAGUGAGAAUAGAGACUACAAGAGAGGAGGGGAAUAGAUAAGAGGGUGAAGGAGAUAAAAAGAUGACAAGGGAAGUGGAAGAGUGACAGGAAAAUAGGAAGAGCUUUCCCCAGCAAUCCGUCCAUCUUGGUGAGACAAAGAGAGGUGAGCGUGAGGAUAACUCAG